GCGCCCGUAGCUCAGCUGGAUAGAGCAACGGACUUCUAAUCCGUGGGUCGGAGGUUCGAAUCCUCUCGGGUGCGCCA
rnacentral:tRNA from 1 species